GCGCCUAUAGCUCAAUUGGAUAGAGCAUCGGACUUCGGAUCCGAGGGUUGAGGGUUCGACUCCCCCUAGGCGCG
rnacentral:tRNA from 1 species